rnacentral:tRNA from 1 species
UCCUUGGUGGCUCAGUGGUAAAGAAUCUGCCUGCUACAGCAGGAGACACGGGUUUGAUUCCUGACCCAGGAA